rnacentral:rRNA from 1 species
UAAGUUAUUAAGGGCGCACGGUGGAUGCCUUGGCACUAGAAGCCGAUGAAGGACGUUACUAACGACGAUAUGCUUUGGGGAGCUGUAAGUAAGCUUUGAUCCAGAGAUUUCCGAAUGGGGAAACCCAACAUGAGUUAUGUCAUGUUAUCGAUAUGUGAAUACAUAGCAUAUCAGAAGGCACACCCGGAGAACUGAAACAUCUUAGUACCCGGAGGAAGAGAAAGAAAAAUCGAUUCCCUU